CCUGCAGGCUGACACCGACAGGCCCACCGCAGCUGGCCCUGACCUCCUACCCAAGAGCAGCCCGGGAGCCCCGCCCCUGCUCAGAGACCUCCUAGCAACAUGGGUCCGUUUAAAAAGAGAACGCUUUCUCUUUGGCUGCUGGCUGCACUCCAUCUGGGUUUGGUUGGAAGGUAGCUUUCUCCGAGUACUGCUGAGGAUGAACGGGACUCUUACACUUACUCUUUCGUGGGUGGAUUCUUAGUCAUCCUGCUACUUCUCUACAGGGUCUUCCUGUGUUAUGCAAGCUGGCCUUGAACUCUUGGACUCAAGCUAACCUCCCGCCUCAGCCUCCCAAGUGCUGGGACUCAAGGAUGCUGUGUGGAAAGGGACGUUGCACAAGGAGCCGGGGACAGAGUGCCUGCCCACCAGACAAUGCUUCUAGACAAACAGCCGCUUCCUCCGUUAAUGAGUCCUGUGGAAUGCAGAUGAGAUUUUUUCCUCCUCCUUUUUGCUGAUUAAGUUCCCCCAAAACCCCCUUAAGGAUUUUAAUAAGAAAUGCAAAAAUCAACAAAAGUCCGGCAAAGCCUUUCCUGUUAUUAAAUAAAGGGAAAGUAAAUAUUGCAAAUUAGA